GUGAGUCAUCGAAUCUUUGAACGCACAUUGCGCCCCUUGGUAUUCCGGGGGGCAUGCCUGUUCGAGCGUCAUUACAACCCUCAAGCCUGGCUUGGUAUUGGGCUUCGCCACUAACCUGGCGGGCCUUAAAAUCAGUGGCGGUGCCUCCGAGGCCCUGAGCGCAGUAAAUAUCCUCGCUAUAGGGACCCGGUGGUUACUGGCCAGCAACCCCAACUUUCUAAGUUUGACCUCGGAUCAGGUAGGGAUACCCGCUGAACUUAAGCAUAUCAAUAAGCGGAGGA
rnacentral:misc_RNA from 1 species